AGUUACGCUCCUAUCCUGGCGGAUUAAUACAAGACCGAAAAGUAGACCCCGGUGCGGGUGAGCGGAGAGGGGACGAACGAAGAAGCGUGCCGGCAAUUAGGACCUUAAUAGCUCUCUUUCAAUUUGGUGGUCAUCGGCAGUAGUCGUGUUGUAUUUGCUAUCUUAGUUAAAUUUUAUUUGAAAGAAGUAAAAGUGCAUUAAAUCGACGUUGAGUUGGAUAUUCAACAGCAACAAAAGGAUAUGAAAAAGUCCGUUACAACAUAUACCUGUAUUAGACACUCAGAAUAACUACCACAAACAAUACCAACCCUUGGAGAAUAGACCCUUUGUUAAUGAGGAUUAACUCUGAGGACAUAGUUAAUCAUUUCUUUCUCCCUUUAUCACAUGGAAAGCUAUAGAGAAAGUCUAAAACUGAAGAGGUAUCGCCUCAGGAAAAGAAGAGUGCUGGAGUGGGAUUACAAAUAGCGACAGCGCUACGAAGAUUUCGCUACGUAGCGAUUCAAAGCUACAUUCACUUUAAAAAAUUUUCCAGCUAUCGGGAGACUUAAAAAAAUGGAAUCAUUUUGAUAGAUUUAGAAUCAAGAAUGUAUCAUAUUCAUAAGGAUUUCCCACGAUGAAGAAAUGAAGCAAUUAAAAGAAGUAUCUAAAAGGCUGACAAAUUUUUCAAGUGUAACACUUCAAAUCACAAAAGUUAUAAAAAGGCAAUUCGAGGCAAUGAUAAUUAUUAAUAUUAUUAUAUUAACACUUUUAUUUUCAAUUUCUAUCCUUACAAAAAAUCAAGAAAAUAAUUCACCUUUAUCCAAUAAUAAUAAACUAUUUAAUUUUCUUUUCUA